ACUUCUCCCUGAUGAGGACUUGGAAAUGGAUUUCAACAUUCCCAAAAGCUCAAGAUUACCUGAUAUAAUUUAACCUAGAAAAUGGACCAUUUGUCCUUCUGGCAACAGAAACCCCAGAAGCCUAUUCUCCUGUGGACUGUGGCUAUGUGGCACCUUCAACAGGCAAUCUCUGGACAAAGGCAUGCUCAUGUCUGUAACAUCAGAAUCAGCCCACCAUCUUGACAUCUGACUUCUGCAUUUCUCUUAUGGGACAACUACUAGUUCAAAGGGAAGUCUUGUCACUGUCACCUGCUUUGCUGAAAUUCCAUUCUCACUCUACAGAGCCUUGGCAGGCCUGCUUUGCAUUUAAUCUUGAUUCCCAACAUUUUCCCAAGGCCCUGUCUACCGUGAGAGAUUCUCAGCAUUCCAGGAUUAGCAAAGUAAAGAACCGGAAAUGGCCUGGGGAGAAGAGCAAAUCCAGGCACCAGAUCAGACACAAUCACAGUUGAUUACACUGUACCUGCUCCAACAGCCAUGUAGGAAGAAAUGAAGCAAGGUCACAGCUCACAAGUAGACUACUGAAAUGUUGGCUCAUCUUCAAUCCUCUUCACUUCGUUGUUGGGCCGCAUUGGUUUGUGCGUGGCUUGCUCUCUUCUAGGCAGGACUGGAUGGUUCCAUUUCUCUUCAAGGCCUUCCUAGCUCCAAGCAAUCUGGAUACACCUAAGACUUCCAGCAAGUACAUGGAGUCCUGUUCUAAGUUCCUUAAAAUUGUCCUGUCCCUUGCACUCUGACUCCACUACCUCAAAAAAAAAAACCCUCCAGCUUGUGGAGAGCACGUGUCCUCCAUCCCGGGACCCUAGGGAGCUGGGAGAGGAACCUGGUACUUUGUCCGCCGGUGGCUUCCCCUAGUCCCGCCCACC